rnacentral:rRNA from 1 species
GAUGAACGCUGGCGGCGUGCUUAACACAUGCAAGUCGAACGAAGCACUCUAUUUGAUUUUCUUCGGAAAUGAAGAUUUUGUGACUGAGUGGCGGACGGGUGAGUAACGCGUGGGUAACCUGCCUCAUACAGGGGGAUAACAGUUGGAAACGACUGCUAAUACCGCAUAAGCGCACAGGACCGCAUGGUCCGGUGUGAAAAACUCCGGUGGUAUGGGAUGGACCCGCGUCUGAUUAGCCAGUUGGCAGGGUAACGGCCUACCAAAGCGACGAUCAGUAGCCGACCUGAGAGGUUGAACGGCCACAUUGGGACUGAGACACGGCCCAGACUCCUACGGGAGGCAGCAGUGGGGAAUAUUGCACAAUGGGGGAAACCCUGAUGCAGCGACGCCGCGUGGAGGAAGAAGGUCUUCGGAUUGUAAACUCCUGUUGUUGAGGAAGAUAAUGACGGUACUCAACAAGGAAGUGGACGGCUAACUACGUG